rnacentral:rRNA from 1 species
UGGUUCAGGACGAACGCUGGCGGCGUGCCUAAUACAUGCAAGUCGAACGCUUUUUCUUUCACCGGAGCUUGCUCCACCGAAAGAAAAAGAGUGGCGAACGGGUGAGUAACACGUGGGUAACCUGCCCAUCAGAAGGGGAUAACACUUGGAAACAGGUGCUAAUACCGUAUAACACUAUUUUCCGCAUGGAAGAAAGUUGAAAGGCGCUUUUGUGUCACUGAUGGAUGGACCCGCGGUGCAUUAGCUAGUUGGUGAGGUAACGGCUCACCAAGGCCACGAUGCAUAGCCGACCUGAGAGGGUGAUCGGCCACACUGGGACUGAGACACGGCCCAGACUCCUACGGGAGGCAGCAGUAGGGAAUCUUCGGCAAUGGACGAAAGUCUGACCGAGCAACGCCGCGUGAGUGAAGAAGGUUUUCGGAUCGUAAAACUCUGUUGUUAGAGAAGAACAAGGAUGAGAGUAAAACGUUCAUCCCUUGACGGUAUCUAACCAGAAAGCCACGGCUAACUACGUGCCAGCAGCCGCGGUAAUACGUAGGUGGCAAGCGUUGUCCGGAUUUAUUGGGCGUAAAGCGAGCGCAGGCGGUUUCUUAAGUCUGAUGUGAAAGCCCCCGGCUCAACCGGGGAGGGUCAUUGGAAACUGGGAGACUUGAGUGCAGAAGAGGAGAGUGGAAUUCCAUGUGUAGCGGUGAAAUGCGUAGAUAUAUGGAGGAACACCAGUGGCGAAGGCGGCUCUCUGGUCUGUAACUGACGCUGAGGCUCGAAAGCGUGGGGAGCGAACAGGAUUAGAUACCCUGGUAGUCCACGCCGUAAACGAUGAGUGCUAAGUGUUGGAGGGUUUCCGCCCUUCAGUGCUGCAGCAAACGCAUUAAGCACUCCGCCUGGG